CCUACGGGUGGCAGCAGUGAGGAAUAUUGGUCAAUGGACGAGAGUCUGAACCAGCCAAGUAGCGUGAAGGGUGACUGCCCUAUGGGUUGUACACUUAUUUUAUAUGGGAAUAAAACAGGGUAUGCAUACCCUCUUGUAUGUACCAUAUGACUAAGGAUCGGCUAACUCCGUGCCAGCAGCCGCGGUAAUACGGGGGAUCCGAGCGUUAGCCGGAUUUAUUGGGUUUAAAGGGCGCGUAGGUGGAUUGUUAAGUCAGUUGUGAAAGUUUGCGGCUCAACCGUAAAAUUGCAUUUGAAACUGGCAGUCUUGAGUACAGUAGAGGCAGACGGAAUUCGUGGUGUAGCGGUGAAAUGCUUAGAUAUCACGAAGAACUCCGAUUGCGAAGGCAGCUCACUGGACUGCAACUGACACUGAUGCUCGAAAGUGUGGGUAUCAAACAGGAUUAGAUACCCUUGUAGUC
rnacentral:rRNA from 1 species